AAGAAGAUGAGCUGUCAUGUUAUGGUUCUCAAAAUACAGGAAUACAUUGUUCAAGUGAUAUCAUCUUACAGCCUGCCUCCUUGUCAUUUCUAGAACUCUCCAGUGACUGAGGCCCAAGUAUCUAGAGAAGAUGACAGAGGAUUGCGCCAGGAGAAUGGUUGUAAUGACAGAUCACCUGUGGAACUGACUCAUAUGCUUCAGAAGCAGGUCCAAUAUUUUAACCACCUGUUUUUAUGUGGGCCUCCAAUGCAUCAGAGACUGAGGAGAAGAAUUCGAAGUUAUUAAAGUUGCCGAACCUCCGAACUGAAUAUCUACAUUGCAGGAAGUGAUGAAUGUUACGCAAAGUUGCUGCAUCAGCUAGUUUGAAUUUGGCAUACUGCUU
rnacentral:lncRNA from 1 species